GUGUGGUUUUCAAAUUUGCAUAACUGCGCUCUGUCUCUAUACCUCACCAAAAUUGCAACCCAUGUUUGGCUCAAAACUUGCCUAAUGGGAAUGUUUUUCCCUUUUAUUAUUUCUCUUUUUGUAUAGGCCCAUCAGAGUGAUUUCCUGAGUUCUCUCACACAUGGUCAGCGAAUGGAUUAUCCAGUCACAGUACAUAAUGAAAGACUUGCCGAAGGUAGAAGAAGCUGAGUGAAUCUUCAGAGUGAUUCUUCAGAGAGAAGAUGUUAUGAUGUCUUACAAGAACCAAUGAAAUCUGGGAGACCUCAGAGUAUGUCCUUGCUGUGACUGUGCAAAAACAGCUAUGUUAUGCCCGUGAACGGAUUGGUGUUUAAAAGGGCCUGCGUUCAACAGUGUCUCUGUUUAAUGUGAAGAAAAUCCAUCACAUUUGCAUCAGAGGAGGAGCUUCAGUUACUGAAUAGUCCUAAACAAUGAACUGUGGUAAUGUUUCAAUUUCUAAAUGUUUCAAGAAUUACAGUUGUGUUUGUCUUUGAGUUUUGUAUGGUACCUGUAUGUGGUCAUUAAAAAUUGAAUUGAAAUUGAAUUGCUUUUCCAAAUUCAUUUUGCUGAUGUAUAUUUAUGAUGUUUUCUCAAUUUUCCAGAGUCCUCUAGUGGCAAUAAUAUUUAUAAUUUUAAUUUGUACUUUUGUAUUUUAUGGCAAAAAAUUUUAAUCAUACAGUUGUAUUUUACGAUAUACGUUUAAAUUUGCUCGUGGUAUUUAAUUUUUUGAGGGUGAUGUAUCCUGUUUAAACUGUGUGGGUAUAUUGCAAGUUAGUGACUUUUUGGUUUAAAGUAUGUUAAUUGUAGCCCUAUGGUCUCUGAUUUUAAAACUAGUCAAAACAGACUUGAUUUAGUAACAUUGAACCUGCAGUAGAUAAAGCUUGUUUUUUUAUAUUGCUUCAAUGUUGCUAUAUUGUAAAUUAAACUAUUGAAAUUAUGUUCAAUAAACAUUGAUUUUAUAUCCAUCUUGAUUGAUUUUCCAUCAUUGCAAUAACAUUAUUCUAGGGUGCAAACCUGAUGAAAAAUCGAUGAAAAAUGUCAACGUUGUUUCAAUGAUAAUUUGGUUAAUGGCAUCAACAUCAAUUCUAUGUUGAUUCACUGUUGGUCUGCUACCUUGAGUGAUUGAAUUUAUGUUGAAGAAAGAUUGUUUUUUUAACCAUUUUGAUUGAUUUUGCAUCAUUGAAAUAACAUUAUUCCAGGGUGCAAACCUGAUGAAAAAUCUAUGUAAAAUUUCAAUGUUGAUUCAAUGAUAAUUUGGUUGAUGGAUUAACAUCAUUUCAAUGUUGAUUCACUGUUUGUCUGCUACCUGGGAUUACUUGUGUGCAUUUUGAAGCAUUUUAAGAUAUGGCAGUGCAAUUCCCUGUACGGGAAACUGCCCCUUAAACAUUAUUUUACUUUACAAUUAUAUACUCAUUUAUUUUACACAAGAGUAAGUGCAGGUGCAAAAUAGGAGCUGAGCUCUCAACAGCUCCCUUGUUCAGCUGUCAGGGAACUGUUUAGGGAGUCUGGCAUUUUAGGGCCGUCUUAACCGCAAAAUCCUUCAAGUGCCCUGAAACGUUAGUUACCUAAAAAUUCCAUGCAACGCAAAAACCAGUGAGCAUCGAUGGUCUCUAUGUUCCCUUACCGGAAAUCAAGUGACCUUUUCUAAAUCCUCCAACCGAAAAUCAUGCGAGCCUACUCAAUAAACUUUAUGAAAUGCAAACUUUUAUAAGACAAAUUUGUUUUUGUUUUAAUAUAAACACACAUCGCUAGACAGCCAGGGACCACAAUCUACUCAAUAUUUAAAAUAAAAUUUAUUUUAAAUUGUAAAGAUUUUUAUAUGUAUCAUUUAAUAAUAUUCCUCCAAUUUUAUGCAUGUAUAUGUAAGAACAUAUUCACAGCGCUUUUCACAAUGUACUGUUUAAAAAAGUCAGUGAGAUGUUGGUUUUGCCGGUUGUUGAUGAGUAACAGCUGUGAAUGAUUGGGCUUAAGCAGCCACGUCACAGAAGAAUAAGUGUCACGGCGAGGGGCUGGCUGUUAAUGGCUAAAGCCACGCCCCUUCUCAACUUCCACCUCGAGGAGGUCCCCAAAGCCAACCCAAUGACCAGACAACACGAGAACAGGUAAGUAUUAAAACAAACUUUAUUUAAAUAUUUAAAAUAACUUGGGAAAUGGGGAAGGGGCAAUUUAAAACUAAGCGUCCUCUCUGCCUUCCAGGCGGACCACAGCACAGGAAGGUGGCAGGAAGGGGAAGAGGGCAACGGGGGUUCCAGGGGGGCUGGUGACCAAAGGUAUAGGGGGGGGGGGGGAGACGGGAAACACAGGCUCCUGCCAAACUCCGCUAUCCGUGGCGCCCUCCUCUUCUUUCCUGGAGGCAAAGACAAAAUAGUGUGAUUUAGGGGUUUA